rnacentral:rRNA from 1 species
UACGAAGGGGGCUAGCGUUGCUCGGAAUUACUGGGCGUAAAGGGCGCGUAGGCGGCGUGACAAGUCAGUUGUGAAAUCUCCGAGCUUAACUCGGAACGGUCAACUGAUACUGUUGUGCUAGAGUGCAGAAGGGGCAAUCGGAAUUCCUGGUGUAGCGGUGGAAUGCGCAGAUAUCAGGAGGAACACCGGUGGCGAAGGCGGGUCUCUGGGCCGUUACUGACGCUGAGGAGCGAAAGCGUGGGGAGCGAACAGG